ensembl:snRNA U6 U6 spliceosomal RNA
AUAAUAUACAUAUGUCACAUAUACUAAGAUUGGAACGAUACAGAGAAGAUUAGCAUGACCUCUGCACGGGAUGAUACACAAAUUGGUGAAGCUUUCCUCCUGCUU